rnacentral:piRNA from 1 species
UNGGAAGCUAUAGGGAAUCUCUGGAUCCA